CACUGGUGUUCGGGUUGUCAUGCCAAUGGCACUGCCCGGUAGCUAAAUGCGGAAGAGAUAAGUGCUGAAAGCAUCUAAGCACGAAACUUGCCCCGAGAUGAGUUCUCCCUGACUCCUUGAGAGUCCUGAAGGAACGUUGAAGACGACGACGUUGAUAGGCCGGGUGUGUAAGCGCAGCGAUGCGUUGAGCUAACCGGUACUAAUGAACCGUGAGGCUUAACCUUACAACGCCGAAG
rnacentral:rRNA from 1 species